rnacentral:rRNA from 1 species
GACGAACGCUGGCGGCGUGGAUUAGGCAUGCAAGUCGAACGGUAUCAUCCUUUCGGGGGUGAGAGAGUGGCGAACUGGUGAGUAACACGUAGGUUAUCUACCCUCAAGACGGGGACAACCCAGGGAAACUUGGGCUAAUACCGGAUGUGAGCAACUUUUAGUUGUUUGAAAGGUGGCGUAAGCUGUCGCUUGGGGAUGAGCCUGCGUCCUAUUAGUUAGUUGGUGGGGUAACGGCUCACCUAGGCAAUGAUAGGUAGGCGGCCUUAACGGGUGGUCGCCCACACUGGGAUUGAGAUACGGCCCAGACUCCUACGGGAGGCAGCAGUCGAGAAUAGUCUACAAUGGUCGGAAGACUGAUAGUGCGACGCCGCGUGAACGAUGAAUCCCUUCGGGGUGUAAAGUUCUUUUAUAUGUGAGCAGUGCUUCUUAUAUUAACAGUAUGGGGAGAGAGAUAUUAGCAUAUGAAUAAGCAACGGCUAACUCCGUGCCAGCAGCCGCGGUAAAACGU